AGAAUCAACGCUGGCGGCGUGCCUAACACAUGCAAGUCGCACGAGAAAGGGUAGCAAUACCUGAGUACAGUGGCGCACGGGUGAGUAACACGUGAAUUAUCUACCUCCGAGUGGGAAUAACUGAGAGAAAUCUUAGCUAAUACCGCAUAACACUUACGAGUCAAAGCAGCAAUGCGCUUGGAGAGGAGUUCGCGGCAGAUUAGUUAGUUGGCGGGGUAAUGGCCCACCAAGACGAUGAUCUGUA
rnacentral:rRNA from 1 species